UAUCCUUGUAGUUUAUUUUAUACUUAAUACUUUGUACUUCUUAAUCUCCUACCCCUUUGUUGCCCUUCCCCCCAUCCCUCUCUCUACUGGUAACCACUAGUUUAUUUUCUAUAUUUGUGAGUCUGUUUCCUUUUUUUUAUAUUUAUUAGUUUGUCAUAUUUUUAGAUUCCACAUAUAGGUGAUAUCAUACAGUAUUUUUCUUUCUCUGUCUGACUUAUUUCACUUAGUGUAAUACUCUACAAGUCCAUCCAUGUUGUUGCAAAUGGAAAAAUUGUGUUCUUUUUAUGGCUGAGUAGUAUUCCAUUGCAUAUGUAUAUACCACAUCUCCUUUAUCCAUUUAUCUGUUGAUAGACGCUUAGUUUGCUUUCUUAUCCUGACAAUUGUAAAUAAUGUUGCUGUGAACAUUGGGUACAUGUACCUUUUCAAAUUAGUGGUUUUGGUUUUUUCAGAUAUAUACUCAGGAGUGGAAUUGCUGAAUCAUAUGUAUUUCUAUUUUGUUUUUUUGAGAAACCUCCAUACUGCUUUCCACAGUGGCUAAACAAAUUUACAUUCUCACCACAGUGUACAAGGAUUCCUUUUUCUCCACAUCUUUGCUAACAUUUGUUAUCUGUGUUCUUUUUGGUGAUAGCCAUUCUGACAAGUGUGAAAGUAUUUCUCAUUAUGGUUUUGAUUAGCAUUUCCCUAGUGGUUAGCAAUAUUGAGCAUCUUUUCAUGUGCAUGUUGGCCAUCUCUGUGUCCUCUUUGGAAAAAUGUCUAUUCAGUUCUUCUGCCCCUUUUUAAAUUGGGUUGUUUGGUUUUUAUUCUUUUUUUUCAUUUUUUUAAGGUUUUAUUGAAGUAUAGUUAAUUUACAAUGCUGUGAUAAUUUCUGCUAUACAACAAAGUGAUUCAUUAUAUAUGUAUGUGUAUAUAUAUGUAUGUAUGUAUAUAUCUCCAUUCUUUUUCAGAUUCUUUUCCCAGAAAGAUUACACAGAAUAUUAAGUAGAGUUCCAUAUGCUAUACAGUAGGUCCCCACUGACCAUCUAUUCCAUAUAAAAUAGUGUGCAUAUGGCAAUCUCAAAGAUCCAUCCCUCCCUGCCACCUUUCCCCUUUGGUAAACCCUAAGUUUGUUUUCAAAGUCUGUAAGUCUGUUUCUCAUUGUUGUCAGAAAAAUGCUUGAUACGAUUUCAUUUUUCUUAAAUUUACUGAGGCUCAUUUUGUGACCUAGCAUAUAGCUUAUCCUGGAGAAUGUUCCAUGUGCACAUGAAAAGAAUGUGUAUUCUCCUCCUUUCAGAUGGAAUGUUCUAUUAAUAUCAAUUUAGUCCUUUUGGUCUAAGGUGUUAUUUAAGGACUAUGUUUCCUUAUUGAUUUUCUAUCUGGAUGAUCUGUCCAUUGUUAUAAGUGGGGUGUUAAAGUCCCCUACUAUUAUUGUGUUGCUGUCGAUUUCUCCUUUUACAUAUCUUAAUAUUUGCUUUAUGUGUUGAAUUGCUCCUAUAUUGGGUGCAUGUAUUUCUUUACAAUUGCUAUAUUUUCUUCUUGGAUUGCUCCCUUGAUCAUUAUGUAGUUUCCUUCUUUGUCUCUUGUAGUAGUCUUUAUUUCAGAGUCUAUUUUGUCUGAUACAAGUAUUGCUUCUCCGGCUUUCUUUGGAUUUCCAUUUGCAUGGAAUAACCUUCUCCAUUCCAUCAUUUUCAUGCUGUAUGAGUCUCUAGAUCUGAAGCGAUUAUUUAGGCAGCAUAUAUAUAUGUAUGUAUAUAUAUGUGCAUGUGUGUGUGUAUCUUGUUUUUGUAUCCAUUUGGCCAGUUUGUGUCUUUUGGUUGGAGCAUUUAGUCCAUUUACAUUUAAGGUUAAUUAUCAAUGUCUGUUUUCAUUGCCACUUUGUUGUUUUGUUUUAUAGGUCUUUUUCCCCUUCUUUUGUUCUCUUUCCUUGUGAUUUGAUGACUGUCUUUAGUAUUAUGUUAAGAUUCCUUAUGUGUGUGUGUGUGUGUAUCUGUUAUAGAUUUUGAUUUGAAGUUGCCAUGAGGAUUUUUGUAUGAUAGUCUAUAUGUUAAACAUGAUUGUUUAAAGCUGCUAAUCUCCUAAUUUCAAAUGCAUUUUAAAUACCUUACAUUUGUACUCGCCUCCCUUCAUGAUUAUUGCUUUUGAUAUCACAUUUUACAUCUAAUUGUUUUGUAUAUCCUUUAACUGCUUAUUGUAGAUACAGGUUACAGGUGAUUUUACUGCUUUUGUCUUUUAACCUCUUCACCAGUUUUGGGUGUGGAUGAUUUCUUAUCUUUACUGUAUGCUUGCCUUUACCAGUAAGCUUCUUCAUUUCAUAAUUUUCUAGUUUCUAAUUGUGAUUUUUUUCUUUUUCUCCUGGAGAAGUUCUUUUAACAUUUGUUGUAAAGCUGGUUGGAUGGUGCUGAAUUCUUUUACCUUUUGCUUGUCUGUAAAGCUUUUGAUUUCUACAUCAAACCAGAAUGGUAGAUAGAGUAUUCUUGGUUAUAGAUUUUUCUCUUUCAUCAUUUGAAAUCUAUCUGUCAUGCUAUUCCCUUCUUGCCUACAGAGUUUCUGCUGGAAAAUCAGCUGAUGACCUUAUGGGAAUUCCCAUUUAUUUUAUUUGUUGCUUUUCCCUUUCUGCUUUUAGUGUUCACUUUUUAUUUUUAAUUUUUGUCAUUUUGAUUACAGUGUAUCUUGGUGUGUCCCUCUUUGAGUUAAUCCUAUAUGGGACUCUGCAUUUCCUGGUUUGGGUGACUCUUUCCUUUCCUAUGUUAAGUACAUUUUCAGCUAUUGUCUCUUCAAAUAUUUUCUCAGGCCCUCUCUCUCUUCUUCUUCUGGGACUCCUAUAAUUUGAAUAUUGUUGCACUUGAUGUUGUCCCAGAGGUGUCUUAAACUGUCCUUAUUUCUUUUCAUUUUUUUCCCUUUUUUUCUGUUCAGUAGCAGUUAUUUCCACUAAUCUGUCUUCAAGCACAUGAUACAUUCUUCUGUAUCAUUUAGCCUGUUAUCAAUUCCUUCUACUAUGUUUUUCAUUUCAGUUAUUUUAUCCUUCAUCUCUGUUUGGUUGUUCUUUAUGUUUUCUCUGUUAAAAACUUCUAACUUCUUGCUCUGUACAUCCAUUCUCUUCUCAAGUUCUUUGAUCAUCUGUACAAUCAUUACUCUGAACUCUUCACAGGUAGAUUGCCUAUUUCCCCUUAACUUAGUUCUUCUGGGAUUUUAUCUUGUUCCUUUAUCUGUAACAUAUUCCUCUGUCACUACAUUUUGUCUAAGUUGCUCUUUGUAUUUGUAUAUCUGUGGUAAGUUAGUUACAUUUCUCAACCUUGAAGAAGUGGCUCUCUGGGAGUGAAUUUCCCCUCUUGUCACAAAAGCUAUAUGAUCUUGGGGUCUCACCUAAGAGAGCUAUGUGUCCUUCUGUUGUGGUGGGCUGAUUAUGUGGGUGGUCUGCUAGGCUUGGUUGGCCUCCAGUCUGGUUGGUUGCCAGGCCCUGUCUAGUCUAGGUGCUGCUGGCUGCUGUUUAGUGAUGGUUAUGGAACCCUGGUUGGCCCCAGGGCUACUACUUGCUUUCUGGUGAGUGGAGUUGGGGUCCUGAAGACCAGGAUUGUUGCCUACCCACUGGUAGGUGAAGCCAGAUCCUGGGGUUAUUGCUGGACUACUGUUACACAGAGCAGAUUCCUAUAGUCUGGCUGCAGGGCCUGGGAUCUCAGAGCUCUUUUAAAAUUGUUAUGGAAGGAGCAGUUCCUGAGACAGUUAUAUGUCCUGAAGAUUGCAUUGGCCUACUGACCAGGGCUAGGGCCCAGCUGUUCCUGGGGUAAGACCUGGUGUGCAUUGUGGGAUCAUAGUUUUUUUGCUUCUGGUAUCUGCCCUCUGUGGAUGAUGUUAGUCUAGAGGUUUAUGCAGCUUCCUGGUGGAUGAGGCUUUUGCCUGCCCACUGGUGAAUGGAGUUAGGUCUUGGCUCUCUAGUGAGCAAGGUUGUGUUUAAAGGCAGCUAUGGGCUCAGGAAGACUUUAUACAGCCUGUCUGCUGAUGAGUGUGGCUGUGUCCCCACCCAGUUAGUUGUUUUGCCUGAGGCAUCCCAGCACUGGGGUACAGGGUGUUGAGUGGGGCCAGGUCUUGGCAGUAGUGAGCCAAUAUGUCAACUACCAGGAGUGUUCAUGCAGUUGAAUGUCUCUCAAUAUGUAUGCCAUCAAUGCCUAGGACUCUGAGCCUCAGCUGCCUCUCACCUCUCUGGGAGACUCUCCAAGACCAGCAGGUAGAUGUGGCCCAGACUCCUAUCAAAUUACUGCCUUUGUCCUGGGUCCUGGUACAUGUGAGAUUUUGCAUGUGCCUUUUAAGGGUGAAGCCUCUAUUCCCCCCUGUCCUGUGAGGCUCCUGCAAUUAAGCCCCACUGGUCUUCAAAGACAAAUGCUCUGGGAGCUCAUCUUCCCAGUGGUGGACCCCUGGGCUGAGGAACCUGACAGGGCUGAUAACUCACUCCUGUGGGAGAAUUGCCACAAUAUAAUUAUUAUCCAAUUUGUCAGUCACCCUCUUGGGGAUAUGGAAUUUGAUUAUAUCACAAAUCUACCCUUCCUACCCAUCUCAUUGUGGUUCCUUCUUUAUGCCUUUAGUUGUAGAAGAUCUUUUCUGGUAGUUUCCUUUUUUUUUUUUUUUAUCAAUGGUUGUUCUGCACAUACUUGUGAUUUUGGUAUGCUUGUGAGAGGAGGUAAGUUCUUGGCCACUCUCUCCUAAAAAUCUUAAUGUUAGAAAAUUUAGACAGAGACCUAUUCUUUAAUCUUGAAUUAGAGAUCUAUAUAGGAUUCAUAAUAAAUUUCUGUAUCAAACACAGGAUUAAAAAGAGGAGUCAAUAAGAAAAGUUCCAAAGAGGUUCAAAUUGUUUGAAAAGCAGUGGUAAAAAUUCUCUGCUCCUAAGUGAUAUUCUUAGUUUUGAUGCAACCAAGUUGUUUUUCUAAGUGUACAUCCUGUUACCUUGUUCAUUACUAUCAUUAACACCUUUGGAAAUGUUGCAUCAAAGCUUUGCCCAUCCCAGUGGCCUAUGAAUAAUUUUAAUAUUAAAGAUCUAUAUAAGUUGUAUCAUAGGAAAUAACAAAGAGAAUACAAAGACAGAUAACCAGCAAAGCCAAACAUUGAUUAUUUGAAAAGAUUAAAAACAUAUGUAUCUCUAGGAAGACUGAUCAAGAAAAAACAAAAUGGGAAGAUAAUAAAUAAAAUAUUAGGAUUGAAAGAUGAUAUAACCAUGGGUGGAAAAGAAAUUUAAAAGUAAAUAAGAGAAUAUCAUGAAUGACUUUAUUCCACUAAAUUUGAAAACUUAAAAUCAGAAAAAAAAAAUAGUAUUUUUAAUGAAAACUAACUCAAAAGAACUAGAGAAACUAAGUAAUUAUAUGAUUAUAUGACAUUAAAUCAGCAAUAAAGACUUUUUUAAAAUAAAAAUUAAAAAAGCAGACUUUCUAGUGAGCUUGUAAGAAAUAGACAAUUCCAAUUUUACAGAAAGUUUUCCAGAGAAUAGAAAAAUAGGAAACAUUCCUUAAUAAAUUUUAUGAAUCUUAUAUAGAUUUGAUAUAAAAAAUAGUGAGGAGAAUGGUACAAGGAUAAAUUACAGGUUAAUCUCAGUCAAUUAUGCUGAAACCCUAAACAGAAUAUUAGCAAACUAUUUCCAACUAUAUAUAAAGUUGGAAGACUUUUUAAAAGAAACAUUUCCAGAGUUCCUAUUGUCACUCAGCAGAUUAAGUACCUGACAUUGUCUCUGUGAGGAUGUAGGUCAUUCCCUGUCCUUGCUGAGUCGGUUAAGGAUCUGGUAUUACCCUAAGCCACAGUAUAGGUCACAGAUGUGGCUUGAAUCCUGUGUUGCUGUGGCAUAGGCCCCAGCUGUGGCUCUGAUUCAACCCCUGGCCUAGGAACUUACACAUGUGCAGCCACAUAAAGAAAAAGAAAAAAAAAGAAACAGUACCAAUGAGAUAUAUCCAGAAAUCUAAGACUAUUAUAAUACUAGAAAAUCUGGUUGUAUAAUUUGUGUGCUUAUUAAGUACAGAAGAAAAAUAAAAUCCUACAGUAAUCAUCAUAGUAAAUGGUGAAAUGUUAAAAAAAAAAAAACAAAAA
rnacentral:lncRNA from 1 species